rnacentral:rRNA from 1 species
CCUACGGGAGGCAGCAGUGAGGAAUAUUGGUCAAUGGACGAGAGUCUGAACCAGCCACGUAGCGUGAAGGAUGACUGCCCUAUGGGUUGUAAACUUCUUUUAUAUGGGAGUAAAAUGUUCCACGUGUGGGGUUUUGUAUGUCCCAUAUGAUUAAGGAUCGGCUAACUCCGUGCAAGCAGCCGCGGUAAUACGGAGGAUCCGAGCGUUAUCCGGGUUUAUGGGGUUUAAAGGGAGCGUAGGUGGAUUUUUAAGUCAGUUGUGAAAGUUUGUGGGUCAAACGGAAAAUUGCAGUUGAAACUGGCAGUCUUGAGUACAGUAGAGGUGGGCGGAAUUCGUGGUGUAGCGGUGAAAUGCGUAGAUAUUACGAAGAACUCCGAUUGCGAAGGCAGCUCACUGGACUGCAACUGACACUGAGGCUCGAAAGUGUGGGUAUCAAACAGGAUUAGAUACCCGGGUAGUC